UUGGAUGUCAAGGGACAAGGUAGGAGUGUGUGUCAGGGGUGGUGAAAAAUAGCAAAGGCUUCAGUCAAUGUUAUGGCUGCUGUAAAGCUCUGUGUAUUAUGUUGGAGGUUUGAUCACCAUCUCGUUAACUAAUCGUAUAUUUUCAUUUGUGGCAGUUUUUUAUUAUUAUUUUAUUGUUCUCUUUUUGAAUCUGACAUUUGGUGUAUUCUUCGGGGAAUAGACUUGUACUGCAUCUAUUUUUAAAAUUUUAUUGCAUAUGUUGCAGGAAAUAAUAUCUUUUCAUUUUCAAUUUUACAGGUGGCUAUUUCUGGAUUGAGAUUUGGUCUUCAGUUGCUCCCUUUGGAGCUUUCAUAUGCAGGCUUACCUGUGUUGGAACUGCUGAAGAAUUUAAGGGCUACGGCCGAAAGUUAAGUAUUGUUUUCACAUGACUAUGAUGUUUUAGUAAAGACAAAAGUAUUCAAAACAAGUAGAAUAGAACAUUCAUCAUGGUUACACUACUUCAGGACAAGCAGGACAGGUAGUUAUGCAAAUCUAUGUAUGAUUAGGAAGAACAAGAAAAAAGCAAAAACAAAACAAAACAAUGUAUUGCACUAGGAGGCUAGAAAUCUGGUAAAGUAUCAUAUACUCAACACAGAGAUUCAAAUAAACACACAGAUUUGUGAAGACUGUUAAUGUUGCUGCUAACAUAAACAUACAAGUGCAAACAAUACUCAAAAAUAAAUAAAAAAAAACAGUGA